GUGUUGCAUUCAUUUUCAAACGCGAGGGAGUGCUAAAUGCAUUGACAUAUAUUAGAAGUUAUUUGUUGACAUAUAUAUAAAAUGCAGCUAGCUAGCUAGUUAGUUAAGAAACUUGCUAUUCAAAAGACCUGAUGGAGGUGACAGAAUCCGAAGGACCCAGCUACUGUCACGCUCACAUGUCAGCCAGCCACAUAUGAAGAAGCACCCGGCACCACGCUGUCCGCUGUGGAAAGUGUUGAAGCGCUGGAGCCCAAGAGAAACAACUAUAUUGGUGUUGCCAUGGCUUCUGCUGUCGCCCUACUUGCCACUGCUGCCUCAAUGCUCUAUCUCAGUGACGUUUAAUACACACAUAUGCACACACCAAAAUAAAGUGUUUGUUUAUAACAUUUA